rnacentral:lncRNA from 10 species
UUUUUUUUUGAGACAGUCUCUCUCUGUUGCCCAGGCUGGAGUGCAGUGGCACAAUCUCGGCUCACUGCAACCUCCACCUCCGGGGUUCAACGAUUCUCCAGCCUCAGCCUCCCGAGUAGCUGGGAUUACAGGUGCGUGCCACCAUCCCCCCCCCCCACACACACACCUUUUUUUGCUUAUAUUCUAAUCUGACUUUGUUUUAGAUUCAUGAUUCUUAAUUUUCAAACUUUAGUGCAUAUCAAAAUCACCCAGAGGGCUUUGUCUAGAUAGUUGAAAUUUUCAGAUGGCUUCUGGAUAAAUAAAGUGCAUUAUUUCAGUCUGAUUGGAAUAAAUUCUUCAGUAUGACCUCAUGUACACACUACAUGAAUUUCUUAAGAGUGGUAAAUUGGUAUUUCAUGUAUUAUUUGUAUUAUACCAUUGACUUCUUUCUCAGAAAAAAAAAAAAAAAAGUUACCAAAACCUUAUGAAGUCACUGUUGAGAAUUGUAGCAUUUGUUCAAGAACUGUGCUCUUUUCAUUAUUUAAUUAUUUCACAUAACCCUGUUAGAAUAAUUAGACUUAUAGACGUAUAUAAUCUUUGCUGAAAGAUUAUAACUCAUAUAUUUAAAUAUCACAUAGAUGACCCUUACUGCACCACUACUUUGUAAGGCUGUGGCAGUUAAGAAAAGAAGAUUAACGGGCUGGGCGUGGUGGCUCACGCCUCUAAAUCCCAGCAUUUUGGGAGGCCGAGGCAGGCAGAUCACUAGAGGUCAGGAGUUCAAGACCAGCCUGGCCAACAUGGUGAAACCCUGUCUCUACUAAAAAUACAAAAAUUAGCUGGGCAUGGUGGCAGGCAUGGUGGCAGGCGCCUGUAAUCCCAGGUACUCGGGAGGCUGAGGCAGGAGAAUCACUUGAACCCGGGAGGCAGAGGUUGCAGUGAGCCGAGAUUGCACUCUAGCCUGGGCAACAGAGUGAGACUACAUCUU